rnacentral:rRNA from 1 species
GGGCCCGCACAAGCGGUGGAGCAUGUGGUUUAAUUCGACGCAACGCGCAGAACCUUACCAGCCCUUGACAUGUCCAGGACCGGUCGCAGAGACGUGACCUUCUCUUCGGAGCCUGGAACACAGGUGCUGCAUGGCUGUCGUCAGCUCGUGUCGUGAGAUGUUGGGUUAAGUCCCGCAACGAGCGCAACCCCCGUCCUUAGUUGCUACCAUUUAGUUGAGCACUCUAAGGAGACUGCCGGUGAUAAGCCGCGAGGAAGGUGGGGAUGACGUCAAGUCCUCAUGGCCCUUACGGGCUGGGCUACACACGUGCUACAAUGGCGGUGACAAUGGGAUGCGAAGACGCAAGUCCUAGCAAAUCUCAAAAAGCCGUCUCAGUUCGGAUUGGGCUCUGCAACUCGAGCCCAUGAAGUUGGAAUCGCUAGUAAUCGUGGAUCAGCACGCCACGGUGAAUACGUUCCCGGGCCUU